rnacentral:rRNA from 1 species
GUGCCAGCCGCCGCGGUAAUACCGGCGGCCCAAGUGAUGGCCACUCUUAUUGGGCCUAAAGCGUCCGUAGCCGGCCUCGCAAGUCCGUCGGGAAAUCCAGUAGCUCAACUACUGGGCGUCCGGCGGAAACUACAAGGCUUGGGACCGGAAGGCUCGAGGGGUACGUCCGGGGUAGGAGUGAAAUCCCGUAAUCCCGCACGGACCACCGAUGGCGAAAGCAUCUCGAGAGAACGGAUCCGACAGUGAGGGACGAAAGCUGGGGUCUCGAACCGGAUUAGAAACCCCUGUAGUCC